rnacentral:rRNA from 1 species
CAGUAGCCGCGGGAAUACGAAGGGGGCUAGCGUUGUUCGGAAUUACUGGGCGUAAAGCGCACGUAGGCGGAUAUUUAAGUCAGGGGUGAAAUCCCAGAGCUCAACUCUGGAACUGCCUUUGAUACUGGGUAUCUUGAGUAUGGAAGAGGUGAGUGGAAUUCCGAGUGUAGAGGUGAAAUUCGUAGAUAUUCGGAGGAACACCAGUGGCGAAGGCGGCUCACUGGUCCAUUACUGACGCUGAGGUGCGAAAGCGUGGGGAGCAAACAGGAUUAGAUACCCCCGUAGUCCCUGUCUCUUAUAA